UGAACGCUGGCGGCGUGCCUAAUACAUGCAAGUCGAGCGAACAGACGAGGAGCUUGCUCCUUUGACGUUAGCGGCGGACGGGUGAGUAACACGUGGAUAACCUACCUAUAAGACUGGGAUAACUUCGGGAAACCGGAGCUAAUACCGGAUAACAUGUUGAACCGCAUGGUUCAACAGUGAAAGACGGUCUUGCUGUCGCUUAUAGAUGGAUCCGCGCCGCAUUAGCUAGUUGGUAAGGUAACGGCUUACCAAGGCAACGAUGCGUAGCCGACCUGAGAGGGUGAUUGGCCACACUGGAACUGAGACACGGUCCAGACUCCUACGGGAGGCAGCAGUAGGGAAUCUUCCGCAAUGGGCGAAAGCCUGACGGAGCAACGCCGCGUGAGUGAAGAAGGUCUUCGGAUCGUAAAACUCUGUUAUUAGGGAAGAACAAAUGUGUAAGUAACUAUGCACGUCUUGACGGUACCUAAUCAGAAAGCCACGGCUAACUACGUG
rnacentral:rRNA from 1 species